UAACGCGUGGGAAUCUGCCUAUCAGUGGGGAAUAACGACGGGAAACUGUCGCUAAUACCGCAUACGCCCUUAGGGGGAAAGAUUUAUCGCUGAUAGAUGAGCCCGCGUACGAUUAGCUAGUUGGUGAGGUAAUGGCUCACCAAGGCAACGAUCGUUAGCUGGUCUGAGAGGAUGAUCAGCCACACUGGGACUGAGACACGGCCCAGACUCCUACGGGAGGCAGCAGUGGGGUUUAUUGGACAAUGGGCGAAAGCCUGAUCCAGCAAUGCCGCGUGAGUGAUGAAGGCCUUAGGGUUGU
rnacentral:rRNA from 1 species